GAUGAACGCUGGCGGCGUGCUUAACACAUGCAAGUCGAACGGAAAGGCCCAAGCUUGCUUGGGUACUCGAGUGGCGAACGGGUGAGUAACACGUGGGUGAUCUGCCCUGCACUUCGGGAUAAGCCUGGGAAACUGGGUCUAAUACCGGAUAGGACGAUGGUUUGGAUGCCAUUGUGGAAAGUUUUUUCGGUGUGGGAUGAGCUCGCGGCCUAUCAGCUUGUUGGUGGGGUAAUGGCCUACCAAGGCGUCGACGGGUAGCCGGCCUGAGAGGGUGUACGGCCACAUUGGGACUGAGAGACGGCCCCGACUCCUAAGGGAGGGAGCAGUGGGGAAUAUUGCACAAUGGGCGGAAGCCUGAUGCAGCGACGCCGCGUGGGGGAUGACGGCCUUCGGGUUGUAAACUCCUUUCGCUAGGGACGAAGCGUUUUUGUGACGGUACCUGGAGAAGAAGCACCGGCUAACUACGUG
rnacentral:rRNA from 1 species